rnacentral:tRNA from 1 species
GNCCGGUUAGCUCAGUCGGUAGAGCAUCAGACUUUUAAUCUGAGGGUCGUGGGUUCAAGUCCCACAUCGGGCG